GACGAACCGUGCGAACGUUGUUCGGAAUCACUGGGCUUAAAGGGCGCGUAGGCGGACGACCAAGUCAGGGGUGAAAGCCCCCAGCUCAACUGGGGAAGUGCCUUUGAUACUGGUCGUCUCGAGGGAGGUAGGGGCGUGCGGAACUUCCGGUGGAGCGGUGAAAUGCGUAGAUAUCGGAAGGAACGCCGGUGGCGAAAGCGGCGCGCUGGACCUCUUCUGACGCUGAGGCGCGAAAGCGUGGGGAGCGAACAGG
rnacentral:rRNA from 1 species